CAGCCUCUCUGCGCACGGCCCGCUGCAGCCGUCUUUAAUCUGGAGUACAGUCUUCUGCUUCUGCCUGGAGGCUGAGGUGUCAGUGUGGCCAUUUUGCACCAGGAACUGUGGUCUGACCUGCUGAGUGAGGCUUCUGCCUAUGACCCCCUGUGAACAAGUAACACCAGACUGAGCACAAAGGAAGAAAACAAAGGGAAGGAGGAACAAGGACCAGCCCCAGAGUCUGCACUGAGGUCCACUCUUCCCUUGACCCGGCUGCACACUUUCUCCGCAUCUCUGCUCAGGUGCCAGCUCUGCGACGUCCUCCCUGAGCAUUCUGUCUAAAAUAGCGCUGUAUCCUCCACUGCCUCUGUCACUGCCAUCCCCUUCUCUUCCCCUCCCCUCUGACUCCCGUGCAUUCGCACCUGGGUUGUCCAUCUGUCCCUCUAGAAUGGAAGCUCUGUGAGCAGAGGGAUUUGACCUGCUUUGUUCGCAACUGUACACAGCUGGCAACAGCAGUGCCUGGUACAUAGCAGGUGUUCAGUAAGUUUUGAAUGAGUGAGUGAAUGACUUGACUGCCAGUGGACUAGAAAAAUUUCAAAUAACUCAAAAUUGGGGCUUCCCUGGUGGCUCGGAUGUAAGCGAUCUGCCUGCCAGUGCAGGGGAUACGGGUUCAAUACCUGGUCCGGGAAGAUUCCACGUACCUCGGAGCAGCUAAGCCCGUGUGCCUCCACUACUGAGCCUGGGCUCGAGAGCCCAAGCUCCACAACAAGAGAAGCCACCGAGAUGAGAAGCCCAUGCACCCCAACUAGUGAGCAGUCCCUGUUCUCUGCAAUAAGAGAACAGUCCACGCAGCAAUGAAAACCCAGGACCGCCAAAACUAAGAUAAAUAACUCAAAUUUUAUUAUUAAUAUUGUAGGGAUGAGCGCUGAAGGAUAUGCCCACAUUAUAAAUUGUCACAACCCUUUUUUUAAGAUGCUGUCUGGAAAUGUUUAUCCCAUUCGUGGGAGUCUAAUCCACAGAAAUAAAAAUAGAAGGACAUAAGGACAUACAUAAGAGGAUAUUUAUUUGUGCAUUAUUUAGCAAAAAAAAAAAAUAAAUAAAAGGGGGAAAUUAAAUUAAACCCUGUCAGGAGGAGAAUGGUUGAAUAAAUCAUAGCACAACCACAUUAUGAAAUAUACUGUGGCAAUUUAUUAUAAAAUGAACUAAAGUUAUACACGUUGUUUUGGAGGGACUUGUGUGAGGUUCUGUUGAAUUCAAAAGGCAAGCCUCAAAAAUAUGUGUAUUCAGGCUUAUAGAACCAACUUAUGUUGCCAGGGGGAAGAAUGGGGAAAAGGAGUAGUUAGGGAGUUUGGAAUGGACAUGUACACACUGCUGUAUUUAAAAUGGAUAACCAACAAGAUCCUACUGCAUAGCGCAUGGAACUCUGCUCAGUGUUAUUUGGCAGCCUGGAUGGGAGGGGAGUCUGGG
ensembl:lncRNA